rnacentral:tmRNA from 1 species
GGGGAUGACGGGUAUCGACAGGGCAGAGAGGGCAGAAGCGGCGAGCCGAGGUGUCCGUAUACCACCUCGUAAAACCACGGACAACAAAGUAUUUGGCGAACGCCAGUACGCACUCGCAGCGUAAUUAACGCUGCCGUCCACCCGAGCCCCGCCUCGACGGGCGAAGGAUGGGCGCAAUAAUGCCGAGGUGCUCCGUACCCUCGCCCCGGGGGUCCGGCUAAGAUCAGGGGCUGGCGCCUGCGAAACGUUGUCGGUUUCGGGUCAAAGGCGCGACAACAACGAACCGAAUACGCUCGUAGUCAUUUCUGGUUGAUUCGUUCUGGACGGGGCGUUCGACUCGCCCCCAUCUCCACCA